CUGAGUCUGCCUCAAACUUCUGACUUCCCUCUGCAAUAGACUCAAUGAUCCAUCCUGGGUGUACCCUACCUCUUGGCCUAUGACAGCUGGUAUAGCUUUCAACCCCCACUCAACCUUGAAUUGGAAAAGCAGCUUUCCGUGUCCGCAAGCGAGUAUGGUUCCGACCUCGAUGUGGGACGCGCGAUGAGAGGCUCCAUCCACAGUGACUACCACUGUACCUCAAUGCUUUAUUAAAACAGUCUGGGCUCUGUCAAAACAACCACUUCUGUACAGUUUUAUGGAGGGCGGGCACUUUGCUGGGACGUCCUGCAGAGGAAUGCCCAACACGAGACCUGCAAGAUGCAGAAGCGCUACGAAAAAGGGCUUCGUGUACUUCAGCUACUUCAAAGAGGGACACAGAAUGUAUUCUCAAAGUCGAAAUAAAAACACUACAGUAUACAAAAUUACGCUUGCUGUACAAGAGUUGUUA